rnacentral:rRNA from 1 species
GACGAACGCUGGCGGCGUGCUUAACACAUGCAAGUCGAACGAUGAAGCUGUGCUUGCACAGUGGAUUAGUGGCGAACGGGUGAGUAACACGUGAGUAACCUGCCCUUCACUUUGGGAUAACUCCGAGAAAUCGGGGCUAAUACCGGAUAUGACCUUGGCCCGCAUGGGUUGUGGUGGAAAGUUUUUCGGUGAGGGAUGGGCUCGCGGCCUAUCAGUUUGUUGGUGAGGUAGUGGCUCACCAAGGCGAUGACGGGUAGCCGGCCUGAGAGGGCGACCGGCCACACUGGGACUGAGACACGGCCCAG